ensembl:lncRNA
GAGAAACACAAGAAUACUUAUUAAGAUGGCAUUUUAUUUUACAGGAGGCCCCUACUUGCUUUGCAAGUGUUGCAGGAAGAAAUUAUAAAAGGUGAUGCAGACUCCUGAAUAUAGAGCAUCGAGCAGCAAUCAUAUUUUGCUUAAGGAAGUUCACUGCAUACACUUGUUCCCAAGGCAGAGCAGCAAAAUGAUUUCUACUUGAAGAUGAGAUAUUGCAACUGUCCUGCGCAUAACCCUCGGGCUCUGCCUUCCAGUGCACUUUUCUGGACUGCUAGACCUGCAUCUGCAUAUCUUUGCCUAAGGACUUUUCCCUGGCCUUUUGGAGGCGACUCUGCCCACACAUGGCAGGCCAGAGAUGCCUGGGGAAUUACUGCCUUAUAUUCCAGCAUCCUUUUGUCAGUGAUAGAAAGUAUGUAUGAUAUACUUAUCAUAUAUAAGUAUCCUGGUUU